CACGUAGGGCGCAAGCGUUGUCCGGAAUUACUGGGCGUAAAGAGCUCGUAGGCGGUUUGUCGCGUCGGAUGUGAAAACCCAGGGCUCAACCCUGGGCCUGCAUUCAAUACGGGCAAACUAGAGUAUGGCAGGGGAGACUGGAAUUCCUGGUGUAGCGGUGAAAUGCGCAGAUAUCAGGAGGAACACCGGUGGCGAAGGCGGGUCUCUGGGCCGAUACUGACGCUGAGGAGCGAAAGCGUGGGGAGCGAACAGG
rnacentral:rRNA from 1 species